CGAGCGGAACGAUGAUAGCUUGCUAUCAGGCGUCGAGCGGCGGACGGGUGAGUAAAGCUUAGGAAUCUGCCCAGUAGUGGGGGACAACCGUCGGAAACGGCUGCUAAUACCGCAUACGCCCUACGGGGGAAAGCAGGGGAUCUUCGGACCUUGCGCUAUUGGAUGAGCCUAAGUCGGAUUAGCUAGUUGGUGAGGUAAAGGCUCACCAAGGCCACGAUCCGUAGCUGGUUUGACAGGAUGAUCAGCCACAUCGCGACUGAGAC
rnacentral:rRNA from 1 species